AGGAUAAACGCUGGCGGCGUGCCUAAUACAUGCAAGUCGAACGAUGUUCGCGCCAAGCUUGCUUGGCCAAACGAGUGGCGAACGGGUGAGUAACACAUAAGCAACCUGCCCACGGAGACCGGGAUAAUCUCUGGAAACGGGGACUAAAACCGGAUAGGUAGCACAGCCGCAUGGUAGUGCUAUUAAAGGUGAGAGACACUGGUGGAUGGGCUUAUGGCGCAUUAUCUAGUUGGUGAGGUAAAGGCCCACCAAGGCGAUGAUGCGUAUCCGGCCUGACACCGGUGACCGGCACAUUGGGACUGAGACACGGCCCAACUCCUACGGGAGGCAGCAGUAGGGAAUUUUCGGCAAUGGGGGGAACCCUGACCGAGCAACGCCGCGUGAACAUGAAGGUCUUCGGAUUGUAAAGUUCUGUUGUACGGGAAAAAACGGUAUGGAAGGAUCCAUAAUGACGGUACCGUAACAAAAAGCCACGGGUUACUACUGGCACCACCGCGUAAUACCUCACGUGGCGAGCGUAUCCGAAUUAUUGGGGCGUAAGGGGGGCGUAGGCGGUCUGGUAAAUUUCUGGUUAAAGCGGGGGGUUUACCCCCUUAAGCCACGGAUACUGGCAGACUAGUUUACCGGAAAGGGCAGUGGAAUUCCAUGUGUAGCGGUAAAAUGCGUAGAUAUAUGGAGGAACACCGGUGGCGAAGGCGGCUGCCUGGACAGAGACUGACGCUGAGGCACGAAAGCGUGGGGAGCAAAUAGGAUUAGAUACCCUAGUAGUCCACGCCGUAAACGAUGGAUACUAAGUAUUGGGGCAACUCAUGCUGCAUUUAACGCAAUAAGUAUCCCGCCUGUGGAGUAUGCACCCAAGUGUGAAACAUAAAGGAAUUGACCGGGGCCCGCCCAAGCGGUGGAGUAUGUGGUUAAUUGACGCAACGCGAAGAACCUUUACCAGGCCUUGACAUCCCGGCAAAGUAUAGAGAUAUACCGGAGGUUACCAAGGUACAGGUGGUGCAUGGUGUCGUCAGCUCGUGUCGUGAGAUGUUGGGUUAAGUCCCGCAACGAGCGCAACCCUUGUCUUCAGUUACCAAUAUCAAGUUAGGGACUCUGGAGAGACUGCCGGUGAUAAACCGGAGGAAGGUGGGGAUGACGUCAAGUCCUCAUGGCCCUUACGUCCAGGGCUACACACGUACUACAAUGGCGAAUACAAAGGGAAGCAAGCGUGCGAACGCAAGCGGAUCCUAUAAAAUUCGUCUCAGUUCAGAUUGCACUCUGCAACUCGAGUGCAUGAAGUUGGAAUCGCUAGUAAUCGCGAAUCAGCAGGUCGCGGUGAAUACGUUCCCGGGCCUUGUACACACCGCCCGUCACACCAUGGGAGUUGGUUCUACCUGAAGGCGCUGUGCUGACCGCAAGGAGGCAGGUGACCACGGCUGGAUCAGUGACUGGGGUGAAGUCGUAACAAGGUAGCCGUA
rnacentral:rRNA from 1 species